GCCAGUGUGGCAUAGUGGUUUGAAUGUUGGACUAUGACUGUGGAGACCAGGGUUCGAUUCCCAGCUUGACC